GCCCGCAGGUCCCGAGGCGCUUGCAGGGGACUCUGCCGCGGAAAGUUCCCAGUCCCCAGCCGCAGAAGAUUUUUAUUUUUGGUUGAUUCCUGCUGUCUACUCCUCUUGGGGUUAACUGUUAGCUUUUCACAGCUACACUGGAAAGCAAGAAGGGAAUCCAAACCUAACCAAAUGAAGCCAAAUACCUCAAAAUAUGUGAAAUGUAUAAAGCGAAAACGAUGUGUUUCUGAUAUGAGACACUGAGUGAAGAGAAGUUCUCUCCUGGGUAUCAUGCUGGAUGGCCCUUCUCACUUACCUGCUGCUGCAGAACUUGAUGACAGAGGGAGAUACAAAAAAGGAGAUGGGAAGCCUCACAAUGUGGAA